ensembl:lncRNA
UGAAUAACGUAUAAUUUCAUAUCCUCCCUUAUGCUAAAAAAAUACAUUAUCGCAAAAUCAGUUAAAUGUAUAGGUUGCUCCAAAAGUAAUGCUUCCUACUUAUUUCCUAGGAAACUACAGCAAAUACAAAGAGUACAACAAUGCUAUUUGACCAAGAAGAUUCUCAGUUGAACCUACAACUGAGAAUUUGUUUGGUCAGAAGUGGCAGCUAAUGGCAUCCAAGAAAGUUCACCUUGGACAAGAACUGCUUCAGAUGCAACCUGAAGGAGCCUCAGAAGUUCCCAAAUGAGAUUUCUCCAACCUGUAUAUCUCACUUAAAAUAACAUCAACCAAACCUUGACCAUCUGAUGUGCUAAAUCUGUAUGGAUCAUUAUUUUGAAAAAAAGACUAAAAGGAGUGGCUGUGCUAUGAGUUCAAUGGGCACCGCGGC